UGACUCAACACGGGAAACCUCACCAGGCCCGGACACCGGAAGGAUUGACAGAUUGAGAGCUCUUUCUUGAUUCGGUGGGUGGUGGUGCAUGGCCGUUCUUAGUUGGUGGAGCGAUUUGUCUGGUUAAUUCCGAUAACGAACGAGACUCUAGCCUGCUAAAUAGGCGUAUUUCGACAUCCCAAAGGCCCGCCGGUCCCGGGUUCGCUCGGUGACCGCGCGCGGUUUUUACUGUCGGCGUACAAACAAUUCUUCUUAGAGGGACAGGCGGCUUCUAGCCGCACGAGAUUGAGCAAUAACAGGUCUGUGAUGCCCUUAGAUAUUCUGGGCCGCACGCGCGCUACACUGAAGGAAUCAGCGUGUCCUCCCUGGCCGAGCGGCCCGGGUAACCCGCUGAACCUCCUUCGUGCUAGGGAUUGGGGCUUACAAUUGUUCCCCAUGAACGAGGAAUUCCCAGUAAGCGCGAGUCAUAAGCUCGCGUUGAUUACGUCCCUGCCCUUUGUACACACCGCC
rnacentral:rRNA from 1 species